UCGAGGCUGCAGUGAACCAUGAUUGUACCUGGGCGGCAGGGCUGAGACCCUGCCUGAAAAAAAAAGUUGGCAAAGUGGUAAAUAGUCCAGCAGAGUUAGGACUUGAAGAUUAUACUCCUCACACUCAGAGCAUUGUAAAAUUAUACGCUCUGCUUCUGGGCUGAUUGAGGAGAGACUCAAUCUGUCAGUUUGAGGAGCUGCAGAACAGGAGAUUGGAAGAAAGGAGAUUUUCCUUCUUAAGAUCUGUCCACGUUCCUGCACUUGAAUCUGGCCUUUCACUUUUCUUAUGUCUAACAAUUAAAAAUAGGUUUGAGGAAUCUCUGAAUACCAGUCUAUGUGUCCGCUACUCACAUCUAACGAUACUAGGUUCUCCCUGUGCUGCCCAGGCUGGUCUUGAACUUCUGUCCUCUAGCCGUCCUCCUUCCUCAGCCUCCCAAAGUGCUGGGAGCCACCGCACCCAGCAUCAGACUUGCAUUUUAUGUAAUGAUUACUCGAGUAACAGCCUACAGGCUGGAAUUGAUGGGGAAAAGAUUAAACAAGAAAACCAGUAAAGUGCUGCAGUAGCCCAGUGAGAGGUGGCAAAAGGCUGAGUUAAGCCACAGGAGUGGAGGUUUGGAGGAAGCGAUUAAUUACAAGUCUAUCUGAGAUCAGAUAGGCUGGACUUGGUGCAGCGUGGGUAGGUGGCAUGUGGGAAGAGGACUCUAGGGGACUCUCCAGUUUCUGGCAUGAAAGGAAAGAUGACAGCGUCAUUAAAUUAGAAAGACACUGGAAGGAGAAGUAGAGCUGGGAUGAAACAUCCGUUCCAUUUGGGGCACGUUUUCUUUGAUUCCUUUGGGACAUCAGAUAGAAAUGGCACGGACCUGGAUUUGGAAGUCCAGUAUGGAGAGGCAGAAGUUAGAAACAUGAUUCUCUUCGUCCAUUUUAUUUUCCAUGCAUUAAGUAAACCAAAUCAAGACUCUGAACACUUUCUACCUAUGUAACAGCCGGUGCAGGGAAGAAAACAAGUGUCGUUUAGUUCUAAUAAGGGACACUUCCUUACCAAUAGGGUUGUGUAAAAAUGCAUUUGGGGGGCUGAACAUUAAAUGGUGGCGAAAUUACUGUACCUAUUUAUGCAUCUUAGACGGGCUUGUCUUGAUUUGCAUUUAGAUGAGAAUUCCUUCAGCCCAGAACCGGGACUGUCCCCUAACUCAUAAGCACUUAGAAAAGCAUUAACUUUAACUGGCGAAGUAUCCUUGGUACAAUGGUGACACAAACCUAAUACCAGUAUUAACAGUGUUGCCUUAAUGACUCAGGAGAAAUUAGCCAUUGAAAUGGUGGAAAAGUUUAGAACAAGCUUCCUUUGCCAUCUCUCUGAGAAGGAGCGCAUGCCCUGUUAAUGAAUGACCGCCCAGCCUCUCGCCGUGCUUCAGUAAGCCUGUUUCCAGGGCUUGUGUGGUUUUUCCACGCUUGCGGAGGCUGAGUGCAGGACUCUACAGCAUCGUUAUUCUAAGUCCUGAGUAAGAACGACAGCUGUUCACCAUGGGCAUGAUUACAGGCAGAGGUAUAUUUUACUCAAAAAAAAAAAAAGGAAAUUGAAACAGGUGGUUCAAGGAAAAGCUUUCCAAGGAGCCACACUGAAGAAAUUCUAAUAGAUCUCUACGGCUCUGCCCACGAUUUCCUCUUCACAUGCUCAAUCCAAAGCCAGCGAAAGGCCCGUGCUAGUUCUUUCAAUAAUUGGUCAGGCUAUUCAGUUAUGGUGGUUGGGUCUGAUGAAGCCAUUACUUUCUUUCAUUUGAUUUUUCAAAUCACAUACAUCUAGAGAAGUAUUUGGUUCUCUUUUAAAAACAACAUUCCCCUAAGAUGAAGAAGUUCUGGAGACUGGCCACCCCACAGUGUGAGCAUACUUAAUACUGUUGACUGUCUGCUUAAAAAUGGUGAAGAUGGCAAAUUACGCUAUGUGUAUUUCACCACAAUUCAAACUUUU